rnacentral:tRNA from 1 species
GCGCGGGUAGCUCAGCUGGAUAGAGCGUCGGCCUCCGGAGCCGAAGGUCGUGGGUUCGAAUCCCACCCUGCGCA